rnacentral:snRNA from 1 species
CCAUAUGCCUUUUGUUUGGAGACAUCUGAAAUGAAGCGAUAAUAGUAGAUUAGCAUGGCCCCUGCUCAAGGAUGACGAGAACAAAUCAAGAAGUGUGCCAUUUUAUU